UUUAUCUGUACUUACAUGGAUUUUGUAUGUAUAUAAUUUAAGUGCAAACUCAAACGUGUAGCAUACAUGUUUAAUUUUUCGUCAAUUUAAGGUCCAAUCCAGUGUUAGAGACUGUUAAACUGUCAUGAGAGGUAUGAAACAAGCUAAGAAUUUGAAAAUUAAAUAAUGUUCUGUCUCUAUGUAUAAAAGUAUCUGGUACAUGUAUAUUGAAUUGUGAUAUUUAUGAUAUAUCUGUAGUAGUUUUGGGGUACUCUGUCAGUAAUACUGUAAUUUCAGGACUUUUUUAGUGCAAUUUUUGGGGAGAUUGUUUCAACAAUAGACAAAAUUGUGAGAUUAAUUAUUGUGAUUUCAAGAAGUGCUGUAUACAAACUAUACAAACUAUACAAACUAUACAAACUACUUACAAACUAUACAAACUACUUACAAAUUUGUAAAUGCAAGUUUUUAUGUAUGCGAAACCUAUCUAACUGCAGUAUUCUCAUUGAGAAGAACAUAGCAAAAAUUUC
rnacentral:lncRNA from 1 species